CUGCUAACGCGGGGGUCCUGCGCCGCGCAUCGUAAUCCGUCGAACUGGAUUGCCCGUGCGUCGUGGGUGAGAAAUACCCUUUGAACCUGAUCUGGAUAAUGCCAGCGCAGGGAAGCGUUCGGGCUUUUCCG
rfam:Burkholderia choica isolate LMG 22940 genome assembly, contig: contig000037